rfam:Ornithorhynchus anatinus chromosome X1, whole genome shotgun sequence.
CCCCUCUCAGGGUUGCACCUGGAGAGUUUCCAGGACUUUAUCAGUUUUAACUAGGAGAGGGAGAGUCAAGCAGAGGCAUAUCCAUUCUAUUACUAAUUUGGGCAGUGGCUAGCAAAUGGAAGGCAAUCUGCUACAAGU